AUUUGGGAACCUCUUAGGUUGCUAGGAUAUGAAUAAUAUAAUUUGUUUUUCAUAAUUGUCUUGUUAAAUUGUAAUAUUCUCAAACACAUACUUCAAAAACUAGUAAUGCAGACACCAUACCUCUUCUUAGAUGGGAUACACACUUUUACAGCCUGUUGUUUUUCUACCGGUAUUUGAAGGGGAACAAGGAGAUGUGCUUCAACUGCACAGGCAGUGAGCGGAAGCCUUCUUGUUCUUCCAAUUGUUUUGAACAGAGUCCUUGUGCUUUCACGUGGGCACAGGUGCCAGUGGAGGCCUUCAGAUAAGUUGAAACCUUAGGGCUUCUGUUCCCAGCCUCUGUAAUCCAACCAUGGUGGGCUUGAGACCUAAACUCAGACCCUCUGCAAGGGCAGAAGAUCAGUACACACUCUUAACUGCUGAGACAAUUCUCCAGUCACAAAAUGUCCAACGUUUUUACUUUUAGGGUCAUGUUAGGAAGAUACUAGGUCUUCUAUCACCAUAUCCUCCAUCUUGGUAAGAGGCUUAGGGGACUAAGAGUUGAAAGAGUCACCUGGGUUGUAGAAUAAACAGGCUCUGCCUUUCCCACUUAAGGGAAGAGCAAUUACUCAGCAGUUAUUAAGUUGUGAGUCCUAGAUACACUCACCAAAAGAGAUGCCCGAGCAUUGUAAAUACUAGGAACUUCAGCAAGAAAAGAACGUGGGCAUGUCAUUUCUGGUGUCUGAUUAUCUAUCAGACUCUCUGAACUGUUACUGCUGAAAUAAGGGGAGCAGAACUAGGUAAAAAGUGUGUAAGACAGUCUGCUAAAGAAGGGUAUGAAGAUGAGGCCUUGAAAUUUUUCAGUCCAGAAAACAUGGUGCCCAGCACUCACUGGGGCAAAAGAGACAAGACUGGGGAACCCAAGCAAGAUAGACCAUGGAGGUUAAAUGUGUGUGCCCAAUGGAAGGAUGUUACAUAAAGGUGGAGGUCAGAUUGGUAGAGUCCAUCCUUAUACAAGAUGGCUAAUGUUCAGACAGCCACACAGGAGCAAAGUUGGUCAGUGGGGCUGGUAUGUAGGGAUCCGUGGUUGAAGCUAUCACACACAACAGUGCAUUCUGCAUACAGUGGGCUAGUCACAUGUAUGCAGCAACCUCUUCCAGAUGCAUACCAAGGAUAGGUGUAUAGAUAAUGAUGAUGGGUAGAUGGAUAGAGAAACAUUUUGUAUGUGAGUGAAACGGGUUUAUAGAAUUGUAAAGGUUGUGACACCCCAUGAUCUGUCAUCUGUAAGCUAGAAAACCAGAAAAGCAGGCACGAGUCAACCUCAGCCUGAUGGUCUGCGAACCAGGGGACCUCUGCUGCCAGUCCCUGAGUCUGAAGGUACCAGCACCAGGAAGACUAAAGGUAGGACAGGGUAUAUUCUCAAGGAGAUGUGUGUACUGGAGGAGAAAGGAGAGAAAAGAGGUGUGGGGCAUGGGAAUGAGACUCUGAGGGUGAUACAAAGAUGAGUCACACUCCUGUCUUUGGAUUCUAUUUGUUCACCAGUGCAUUAGAUGGUGACAUCCACCACCCAGUGCAAGGGUGAUCAUUACUUUACUGAUUCAAAUACUAAUGUCUUUCAGCGUUGCACUCAAAACAGGCACACUUAGAAAUGCUGCUUUGCCAACUCUGUCUGGGUAUCCUUUAACUCAAGCAAAUGAACACAUCAAGCUGACCAUCACAAUUAACCUCUCCUCGAGGCUAAAGGUCUAGAAAAACAUCAAGAAGACCAUUACCAGCUGAGCUGACUUUAACUGGGCAAGAUUGGGAAGCAAAAGGGUAGGAAGGAAGGGCAAAGGUCACCAUCCCUUCUUGUCCAGACAGGCUGUGUCUCAGAUCAUGGGCUUAAAAUGCAUGCAUGUCUGACAUUCAGUGCUGUUGCUAUAAUGUAUGGGGGGGGGGUCAUGUCCUGAAGCACAUUCUUUCAAUGCUAGGAUGGUCUCUUCAUCCCAUUCCUGGGAGGCCUUUAGAUGGUCCAACUCCAUGGGAGGGGAGCAUGGACCAAAGCAAAGCAAUUUCCUUAAUUAAAGACUCAUGGAGGUGAGAAGAGAGGAGGAUGGAAGGAAAAUCAAUAAAGCAGUCAAAGGCAUGGCCUCUCUGUUGGAACAACCCUAACAGAUCUAUCACAAUCAUGUGCCUCGUGGAGCCUGGCGAUGGAGGAUUCUGUUACCAGAGAACACAGCCGAUCCCUGUCCCAACCAUAGAUUAAUGCCUAGCCAACAAAAUAAUUGAACUGGGUGGAGAUGGUAGUUUUAUAAUAAAAGGCCAUGUAAAACUUUAAAGCCAUCAUUUACAAGACUGACCUGGAAGCUGUUUGUUCUGGCCCUGUGGAACCCCGAGAUCUCCCACUUCUGCUGCUGGGACAGGUCCAGAGUUCUGCACUGGCCCCUCUUGCCUUUUACUUGCAUUUACCUCACAGGAUGAUCCUGGGAGCCACACACAUGUGCAGGCCUUAAUCACCCACAUUUCAGAUCCUUCCUGGAAGGAGCCAAUGUGAUGUGAUAGCCCUUCUUAGACAGCUUCACUGGAUGAACUAGCUGAUGUCUGUGCAGUGCUUGGUAGCUGGAAUUAGAGGGAAUCUCUGUAACCAAAGAAAGGCCUGUGUGCCUUUGUAUACAGCAGUUGUCUCUGCACCUAGAACUGCUAGGUACAAAGCAGGCGCUCAGCACAUAACCUGAAACUGAUGCGGGCACUUGAUGUGGUGGUUUGAAUGAGAAUGGCCUUAAUAGGUUCAUAUGUUCGAAGGCUUGGUCCCCAGUUAGUGGAACUACUGGGGAAGGAUUAGUAGGUGUGGCCUUGGAGGAGGUGUGUCACUGGGGUUGGGUUUUGAAGCUUCAAAAACCUAAGCCAGGCCCCAGCCCCCCCCCCACUGUUUUAUUUACCAUGUUGUCCCUUGUAGCCAAAUGUGUGGCACUCAAUAAAUGCUCACAAAGAUAUAUGUGAACAAACAUCACACAAAGAAUAUACAGAAGCAAAUGCUAUACCGGGUUGUGCAGAUCUGGUUUCCAGGCCAAUGGUCUUAAGUCAAGAUACCUACCUUCUUAGAGUCUUCAUUUUUGUUAUUGGAAAACUUUUCUGUCAAGGUCAACUUGGACACAGCAUGAUUCCAAGAGUGGCUCUUUUGUAAACAAUCUUAAUCAGUUUAAUGAUUACCAUUACAGAGAUGUACAAUACAUAUCAGAGGUGGGACAUUGGCUAGAUUUGAUCCAGGGUAGGGAACUAAGGAUAAAAGGACACACAACCUGAGGCACAGGCAGUGGGAGCAGAGAGCAUGAUGAACUGACCUAGUAUAGGGCAUCCAGGCAUGGGAUAAUGAGUAGUAAUAGAAGCAGGGCCCUGGCAGGGGUGUGUUGACUCUGGACCACUGUUAUUGCAGACAGUAGCUGACUCUCAUGGGAAGACUAACUCUUUCAUUCAGGCCUGUGUCCCUGAAUGUUAGCCCCACCGAAGAAAAUAAUACCCUGACCCUACUAUUACUUAAACUUCUCCUGAACAUUGCAAACAUAUCC
rnacentral:lncRNA from 1 species